UUUAUGGAGAGUUUGAUCCUGGCUCAGAGUGAACGCUGGCGGCGUGCCUAAUACAUGCAAGUCGAACGAUGAAGCUUCUAGCUUGCUAGAAGUGGAUUAGUGGCGCACGGGUGAGUAACGCAUAGGUCAUGUGCCUCUUAGUUUGGGAUAGCCAUUGGAAACGAUGAUUAAUACCAGAUACUCCCUACGGGGGAAAGAUUUAUCGCUAAGAGAUCAGCCUAUGUCCUAUCAGCUUGUUGGUAAGGUAAUGGCUUACCAAGGCUAUGACGGGUAUCCGGCCUGAGAGGGUGAACGGACACACUGGAACUGAGACACGGUCCAGACUCCUACGGGAGGCAGCAGUAGGGAAUAUUGCUCAAUGGGGGAAACCCUGAAGCAGCAACGCCGCGUGGAGGAUGAAGGUUUUAGGAUUGUAAACUCCUUUUGUUAGAGAAGAUAAUGACGGUAUCUAACGAAUAAGCACCGGCUAACUCCGUGCCAGCAGCCGCGGUAAUACGGAGAGUGCAAGCGUUACUCGGAAUCACUGGGCGUAAAGAGCGCGUAGGCGGGAUAGUCAGUCAGGUGUGAAAUCCUAUGGCUUAACCAUAGAACUGCAUUUGAAACUACUAUUCUAGAGUGUGGGAGAGGUAGGUGGAAUUCUUGGUGUAGGGGUAAAAUCCGUAGAGAUCAAGAGGAAUACUCAUUGCGAAGGCGACCUGCUGGAACAUUACUGACGCUGAUUGCGCGAAAGCGUGGGGAGCAAACAGGAUUAGAUACCCUGGUAGUCCACGCCCUAAACGAUGGAUGCUAGUUGUUGGAGGGCUUAGUCUCUCCAGUAAUGCAGCUAACGCAUUAAGCAUCCCGCCUGGGGAGUACGGUCGCAAGAUUAAAACUCAAAGGAAUAGACGGGGACCCGCACAAGCGGUGGAGCAUGUGGUUUAAUUCGAAGAUACACGAAGAACCUUACCUAGGCUUGACAUUGAGAGAAUCCGCUAGAAAUAGUGGAGUGUCUAGCUUGCUAGACCUUGAAAACAGGUGCUGCACGGCUGUCGUCAGCUCGUGUCGUGAGAUGUUGGGUUAAGUCCCGCAACGAGCGCAACCCCCUUUCUUAGUUGCUAACAGGUCAUGCUGAGAACUCUAAGGAUACUGCCUCCGUAAGGAGGAGGAAGGUGGGGACGACGUCAAGUCAUCAUGGCCCUUACGCCUAGGGCUACACACGUGCUACAAUGGGGUGCACAAAGAGAAGCAAUACUGCGAAGUGGAGCCAAUCUUCAAAACGCCUCUCAGUUCGGAUUGUAGGCUGCAACUCGCCUGCAUGAAGCUGGAAUCGCUAGUAAUCGCAAAUCAGCCAUGUUGCGGUGAAUACGUUCCCGGGUCUUGUACUCACCGCCCGUCACACCAUGGGAGUUGUGUUUGCCUUAAGUCAGGAUGCUAAAUUAGCUACUGCCCACGGCACACACAGCGACUGGGGUGAAGUCGUAACAAGGUAACCGUAGGUGAACCUGCGGUUGGAUCACCUCCUU
rnacentral:rRNA from 1 species